CGUGCAGGCGGUUCGGUAAGUUGGAUGUGAAAGCUCCUGGCUCAACUGGGAGAGGUCGUUCAAUACUGCCGGACUUGAGGAUGGUAGAGGGAGGUGGAAUUCCGGGUGUAGUGGUGAAAUGCGUAGAUAUCCGGAGGAACACCAGUGGCGAAAGCGGCCUCCUGGACCAUUUCUGACGCUCAGACGCGAAAGCUAGGGGAGCAAACGGGAUUAGAGACCCCGGUAGUCCUAGCUGUAAACGAUGUAGACUUGGCGUCGGUGGGUUUAAAUCCAUCGGUGCCGAAGCUAACGCGAUAAGUCUACCGCCUGGGGACUACGGCCGCAAGGUUAAA
rnacentral:rRNA from 1 species